rnacentral:rRNA from 1 species
AUUGAACGCUGGCGGCAGGCCUAACACAUGCAAGUCGAAUGGUAACAGGAAACAGCUUGCUGUUUCGCUGACGAGUGGCGGACGGGUGAGUAAUGUCUGGGAAACUGCCUGAUGGAGGGGGAUAACUACUGGAAACGGUAGCUAAUACCGCAUAACGUCGCAAGACCAAAGAGGGGGACCUUCGGGCCUCUUGCCAUCAGAUGUGCCCAGAUGGGAUUAGCUAGUAGGUGGGGUAACGGCUCACCUUGGCGACGAUCCCUAGCUGGUCUGAGAGGAUGACCAGCCACACUGGAACUGAGACACGGACCAGACUCCUACGGGAGGCAGCAGUGGGGAAUAUUGCACAAUGGGCGCAAGCCUGAUGUAGCCAUGGCGCGUGUAUGAAGAAGGCCUUCGGGUUGUAAAGUUCUUUCAGCGGGGAGGAAGGGAGUAAAGUUAAUCCCUUUGCUCAUUGACGUUACCCGCAGAAGAAGCACCGGCUAACUCCGUG